rnacentral:lncRNA from 1 species
CUACAGUGGUCGCGGCUCUCCCUGAUUCGCUGCAGGACACUCAUGGCCUGCGCCGCUCGGCACAAGAAGAAGCCCCGCCCGUUCUCGCGUCCCGCGCGUCCGACGACAGGGAUGCGACGUCCGUGUCCCACGGGCCAUCAGCAAGAUAACAGGAUUAGCCGUCUCCCCCCGACGUGCACAGUCACCACGACCGAACACCAUGAUCAUGUUUGGAGGCAACAAUCACCGGGGAGAUCGUCGACAGGACCCGAGGGCGGCUGCCCUUCCCCGGCGGACACGCUGACAGGAUCUGAGGGCCGGAGCAGGAGACGGCGGCCCUGGAACUUGAUCCUUCUCCUUGUAUUUUACUUUACUUAGCUUGUCUCUUUUACUUCUCCUCACACCCAGUCUCACCUAUAACCCCGGUGUCCUCCUUGCGCUAUAAAAGGAGAACCGGGGGCCCUGAGAUAGGGGACUCGCUCAAGCGAAGAGAACAUACACACUCACCAUUAGAGCAUCAGUGCACACCCAAGAGACUUGGCACCAGCUUCCUCUCUCGCCCUCCUGUAACCCCUACUACAGACACCGCGUGGGCAACACGAGCAGCUCCUCAUACUGGACGUAGGGCUUUCCCUUGUUCGAACCAGUCUAAACC